rnacentral:rRNA from 1 species
UGGUAAGGUAACGGCUUACCAAGGCAACGAUGCGUAGCCGACCUGAGAGGGUGAUCGGCCACACUGGAACUGAGACACGGUCCAGACUCCUACGGGAGGCAGCAGUAGGGAAUCUUCCGCACUGGGCGAAAGCCUGACGGAGCAACGCCGCGUGAGUGAUGAAGGUCUUCGGAUCGUAAAACUCUGUUAUUAGGGAAGAA